GCUCUAUAACCCUUUGUGAACAUACCUAUAACUGUUGCUUCGGCGGGUAGGGUCUCCGCGACCCUCCCGGCCUCCCGCCUCCGGGCGGGUCGGCGCCCGCCGGAGGAUAACCAAACUCUGAUUUAACGACGUUUCUUCUGAGUGGUACAAGCAAAUAAUCAAAACUUUUAACAACGGAUCUCUUGGUUCUGGCAUCGAUGAAGAACGCAGCGAAAUGCGAUAAGUAAUGUGAAUUGCAGAAUUCAGUGAAUCAUCGAAUCUUUGAACGCACAUUGCGCCCGCCAGCAUUCUGGCGGGCAUGCCUGUUCGAGCGUCAUUUCAACCCUCAAGCUCUGCUUGGUGUUGGGGCCCUACAGCUGAUGUAGGCCCUCAAAGGUAGUGGCGGACCCUCCCGGAGCCUCCUUUGCGUAGUAACUUUACGUCUCGCACUGGGAUCCGGAGGGACUCUUGCCGUAAAACCCCCCAAUUUUCCAAAGGUUGACCUCGGAUCAGGUAGGAAUACCCGCUGAACUUAAGCAUAUCAAUAAGGGAAGGAAU
rnacentral:rRNA from 1 species